GAUUCUUUAAAAUGUUAUAACACUUGAAAAACAAACAGCUGGCUGCACUCCUUGCUUCAGUUUCUUGGACAACAUGCUGCUUGAAGAGAAAACCAAUAAUCGCAGCAGGCCAUAAAAGAGACCCAGUUUGGGAAUAUUUUAAUGAAGUUCCUCUACCUGCGGGUAAGACAGGCAUGUGUGAAAAAUGCAAACAGUGCAACAAAGAAAUGCAAGGCCUGAUCGCCCAUAUGAAACAACAUCAUGAGAAGUGAUCCUUCUCAGGAGGAAGCUACGUUGAAAAGAUGAUGAAAGGAACAUGUCUGAACAUGCAGGAUCUUCAGGAGAAUCCAUCCUCAACAUACAGGAUUCUGAAGACUAUCCACCUUCAAGAUCACCAUCAUUUUCUAUAGUUUCAGAGUUAUCUGCCAAUGAUAGUGUUUCAGUCACAUCCUGUAUGUCUCA